rnacentral:lncRNA from 1 species
AUGUCUACUUAUGAGACACAAAUCAAUGCAACCAGACUGCGAAAGUGCAAACAGAGAUGUGAGAAAAUUAUUCAAUCAUUAGUCUUCUAUGGAAUUUCAAAACGUGGAAUCUUUUCAUUGUCCCAGUACAAGAAAGAAAGAAAGAAAAAAAGAAAGAAAGAAGGAAAGAAAGAAAAGAAAAGAAAGACUAGAAGAAAGGAAGGCAGGACAAGACAACUGGUUCUAAUUUCAUCAAGGCUUCUCUCUCACGAUUAUGGAAAAGGUUACAAGAAUUAACAAAUCAAUCAAGCAAGUAGAAAAUGUAGCUCUAAGAAGCUUUGCUGUUUAUUUUAUAAAACUUCACCAGUUCAGACCAAUUAGGAAAUAGACUACUAGUCUACAUAAGCUGAAACUAUGAAUCAUCAUGGAGUAUUUUUUAUGUACUUUGAACUGAAAUUUCAAACUGUUAACAACUGGUUUUUUGAGAACUGACUUCAAAGUAAGAAUUAUUGCUAACUUAUAAGAUAUGUGUAUUUUAAAGUAUUCAAAAAGGUUUUCUUCCCCUCCUAUAGGUCAAACAUGGUUCUCCCUUUUCCUUCUCCAAUAAUUUUAACACAAUUAUUU